rnacentral:rRNA from 1 species
AAGUAAAAGUCGUAACAAGGUUUCCGUAGGUGAGUUGGCGGCGAUUUCCUUCCACAUUCUUGUACACUAUUCCAGGUCCAAACUCCAUGCUAACUAUCUAUUUCUAGGUGAACCUGCGGAAGGAUCAUUACCGAGCGUUCGGGUCCCUUACGGGGCCCAACCUCCAACCCUUUGUGUACCUGUCCCAGUUGCUUCGGCGGUCCCGACCGGGCCCACGGUCCCGUCCGCGGGAACGACCCGGCCGCCCGUCGAAGGUCCAUCUCAACUCUGUUAUUGUUCAAUUGCAGUCUGAGCGUCUAGUGGAAAUUAAACAAAACUUUCAACAACGGAUCUCUUGGUUCUGGCAUCGAUGAAGAACGCAGCAAAAUGCGAUAAGUAAUGUGAAUUGCAGAAUUCAGUGAAUCAUCGAAUCUUUGAACGCACAUUGCGCCCCUUGGUAUUCCGGGGGGCAUGCCUGUUCGAGCGUCAUUAACACCCCUCAAGCCUGGCUUGUCCAUGGCCUCACGUCGUCCCGGGUCCCGGGACCGACGGGGCUGAAAAGCAGUGACGGUCGGGUCCGACUCCAAGUGCAGUACGAUUACCAAAAUCACCGCUUUCGAGUUCGGGCCGCCAGACCUGUCCUUUACGAGGUCGCCCCUUCGGGUCCUUUAUUUUUCAAUGUUGACCUCGGAUCAGGUAGGAAUACCCGCUGAACUUAAGCAU